rnacentral:lncRNA from 1 species
CUGGAAGCAGAUCGGCGGCCGCGGGGAGGUUCGGGGCGGCGCAGCCCCGCGCGGUUGUGGGAUCGCUCCCGGGGGCCGCUCCUCUCUCGGGCACUGGGGUCGCGGGAGACGUCGUCGGGAGCUCGGUUUCUGGAGGCCCUUCCCCACCCGGCCUCUGCCUCCUCCACUCCCCCGGGCUGGACGGAACGGGGCCCAGCGCGGGAUGCGAGAGGUAUGAUUUCGCUCUGUCGCCCAGGCUGGAGGGCAGUGGCGCAAUCUCGGCUCACUGCAGCCUCGAACUCCUAGGCUGAAGCGAUUCUCCCGCCUCAGCCUCCAAAGUAGCCGGUACUACAGGCGCGCGCCACCACGCCUGGCUAAGAAAUAACCAUGGAUAUGGGUAGAGACAGAGCCAUAUGGAAUGCACACUGCAGUGGUGAACACAUGGCCCAGCUCUGCCAUCAAGGAGAAGGAACAUGAAUGGAGCUGGAGGCCAUCAUCCUUAGUGAACUAACACAGGAGCAGAAAACCAAAUACCACAUGUUCUCAUGUGUAAGUGGGAGCUAAAUGAUGAGAACACAUGGACACAAAGAGGGGAACAACAGACACUGAAGCCUCCUUGAGGGAGGAGGGUAAGAGGAAGGAGAAGAUCAGAAAAGAUAACUACCAGGUACUAUGGUAGCUUAGUACCUGGGUGAUGAAAUAAUCUGUACACCCAACCCUCAUGACAGAAGUUUACCUGUGUAACAAACCUGCACAUGUAUCCCUGAAACUAAAAGUUUUUUAAAAAGUUAUUUAAUAUAUAUAUAUUUUUUUGAGACGGAGUUUUGCUCUUGUUGCCCAGGCUGGAGUGCGGUGGCGCAAUUUCGGCUCACCACAACCUCCGCCUCCCAGGUUCAAGCUAUUCCCCUGCCUCAGCCUCCCUAGUAGCUGGGAUUACAGGCUUGUGCCACCACGCCGGCUAAUUUUGUAUUUUUUGUAGAGACGGGGUUUCUCCAUGUUGGUCAGGCUGGUCUCGAACUCCCGACCUCAGGUGAUCCACCCCCCUCGGCCUCCCAAAGUGCUAGGAUUACAGGCAUGAGCCACUGCGCCCGGCAAAAAGUUAUUUAAUAUUAAUGGGACAAUACUCAUUGCAAGAAUCAGACUUCAAUUGCUAGCAUAAGUAAAUGACAGGCAGGAGAUAUUGAAAAUGCAAUCUUAUAGACAUUCAAGGAGAGGACGCAGGACAUUUCUGUGUCAUAAAUGUACUAUGGAAAAUAAAAAUGAGAAAAAUGGAAAUAAAAUACAAGAAAAGGUUAUGAUAAAUUUCAUAUUAUUUUACCACAAUAAAAAAAUUUUAAUAAAUUAUAAAUGGUGUGAUAUGUUUUGCCUGUGUUCCACCCAAAUCUCAUCUUGAAUUAGAGCUCCCACAAUUCCCACGUGUUGUGGCUGGGACCCUGUGGGAGAUAAUUGAAUCAUGGGGGCAGUUUACCCCAUACUGUUCUCUUGGUGGUGAAUAAGUCUCAUGAGAGUUGAUGGUUUGAUAAGGGGUUUCCCCUUUUGCUUGGCUCUCAUUCUCUCUUGACUGCCACCAUGUAAGAUGUGCCUUUUGCCUUCCACCAUGAUUGUGAAGCCUCCCAGCCACAUGGAACUGUGAGUCCAUUAAACCUUUUUCUUUACAAAUUAC